rnacentral:lncRNA from 1 species
CCUGGGUCUAAUGGCAGAAUCUGCGGCCAAGUUGAAUGUAAGCUUGACAGAGCCUUGGUAACUAAAGAAAUAUGACACUGGAACUGGAAUGUGUUUGCAAGUAGAUAUUAAUAGUCUUAUAGUAUUUUCAGUAUUUAAAUUAUAACUUCAGCUCAUUAUGUCCUAACUCCUAAAUUAUAUAGAGUCGAUCUUCAACUUUAGUCAUUUAGUGGGUUAAAUUUCUCAAUUGCCAUUGAACUUUUUCAAAUAUUUUAUCACUGAACGUUAUAAGUACUUUGAAUUGCCACUCAAUUCCCUUUUGGCUCCCAUUUUAUUCUUAUUUUGCAAUCUCAUUUUCAACAAAUGUGGGCCCCUUACUUUGAAUAUCAUGACACCAUAUCGUACACAUUUGACUUCUUUCCAUUGAUAAACAGUGCAUUAUGCACAAUGUUCCUUUUUUGCCCUUGAAUGGGGAGAAUUCUAAAGUAGUGGGUUGAGGGUAAUUGUGUAAUUUUAAUUGAUCAAAGCAGGGUAUUUUGGCAUGGGCC